UGCAACUAAAUGCAAAGGUUGGGAAAUGCUAGUAAUCUCAACUUAAGGAAAAAUCGAAAAAGGCGUUUUCAUCUUACUUAAUCCAUGCAGAAGCUCUGUUUUCUUUCAUAGUUACAUUAUUAUCUGUGCACGUGCAGGGUAGAUUUUAUUUUGGAGAAAUAUUGGAUGAUGAUGAGGGCUGUGAUGACAAAACUUCAGCGCUGCAUGCUGGUAUAGCCGAAGUUGCUGCUGCAAAGGCUCGCAUGUUUGUUAACAAGCCAGAUGGAAGUCCAUUCAUUAGAACAUAUGUACACUAUGAAUUAAAGUAUAAAGAUAUA